UAAUCAACGAAUUCAACAUCCAUAGGAGAAGACUCGGUCCGAUGUAGAGCUGGACAGGUUGCUUCUUCUACUUGAGGAAUUAAAUGAUACAGAUUACUGGGAUGGAGCUUGCUGCAGAAUCAUCUUGUAUUGUAUUUGGAACAAGGAUAUAAGUUCUGCUGUCAACUUGUGUAAGCUCCUCAAGAAUAAGUACCAAAGCGACGAACUGGUUACAGAAGUUCUCUGCGAUAAGCACCACAGCGAUGAAUUGGUUAUGAAAGUUCUCUUUGAUAAGGUGUUCUCUCUCAUCAACGGGUCAGAGUCAAGCCAUUUGCAAGCGAGCCUCGAACUGCUUUCUGAAAUCAAGGAUAAGCUAGGCCUUGUGCCUCCAAAGGAAUAUCAUGAUUCUCUGCUAAGUG